rnacentral:rRNA from 1 species
UAGGGAAUCUUCGGCAAUGGGGGGAACCCUGACCGAGCAACGCCGCGUGAGUGAAGAAGGUUUUCGGAUCGUAAAGCUCUGUUGUUAAGGAAGAACGAGUGUGAGAAUGGAAAGUUCAUGCUGUGACGGUACUUAACCAGAAAGGGACGGCUAACUACGUGCCAGCAGCCGCGGUAAUACGUAGGUCCCGAGCGUUGUCCGGAUUUAUUGGGCGUAAAGCGAGCGCAGGCGGUCAAUUAAGUCUGAUGUGAAAGCCCCCGGCUCAACCAGGGAGGGUCAUUGGAAACUGGUUGACUUGAGUGCGGAAGAGGAGAGUGGAAUUCCAUCUGUAGCGGUGAGAUGCGUAGAUAUAUGGAGGAACACCAGUGGCGAAGGCGACUCUCUGGUCUGUAACUGACGCUGAGGCUCGAAAGCGUGGGUAGCAAACAGG